CCUACGGGUGGCAGCAGUGGGGAAUAUUGCGCAAUGGGCGAAAGCCUGAAGCAGCGAAGCCGCGUGAGGGAUGAAGGUCUUCGGAUCGGAAACCUCUGUCAGCAGGGAAGAACGGUCACUGUGCUAAUCAGCAGUGAAUUGACGGUACCUGCAAAGGAAGCACCGGCUAACUCCGGGCCAGCAGCGGCGGUAAUACGGAGGGUGCGUGCGUUAAUCGGAAUUAGUGGGCGUAAAGCGCUCGUAGGCGGUAUGUCAAGUCAAGGGUGAAAUCCCCGCGCUCAACGUGGGAACUGCCUUUGAAACUGGCAAACUGGAGUGUGUGAGAGGAUAGUGGAAUGCCAGGUGUAGGAGUGAAAUCCGUAGAUAUCUGGAGGAACAUCAGUGGCGAAGGCGACAAUCCGGCACAUAACUGACGCUGAGGAGCGAAAGCGUGGGUAGCAAACAGGAUUAGAUACCCGGGUAGUC
rnacentral:rRNA from 1 species